AAUCAACGCUGGCGGCGUGCCUAACACAUGCAAGUCGCACGAGAAAGGGACUUCGGUCCUGAGUACAGUGGCGCACGGGUGAGUAACACGUGAAUCAUCUACCUUCGAGUGGGAAUAACUGAGAGAAAUCUUAGCUAAUACCGCAUAAUACCUACGGGUCAAAGCAGCAAUGCGCUUGAAGAGGAGUUCGCGGCAGAUUAGUUAGUUGGCAGGGUAAUGGCCUACCAAGACGAUGAUCUGUAUCCGGCCUGAGAGGGCGCACGGACACACUGGAACUGAAACACGGUCCAGACUCCUACGGGAGGCAGCAGUGGGGAAUUUUGCGCAAUGGGGGAAACCCUGACGCAGCAACGCCGCGUGGAGGAUGAAAUCCCCUGGGAUGUAAACUCCUUUCGAUCGGGAAGAUAAUGACGUACCGAGAGAAGAGCCCCGGCUAACUUCGUGCCAGCAGCCGC
rnacentral:rRNA from 1 species